CCUACGGGUGGCUGCAGUGGGGAAUAUUGGACAAUGGGGGUAACCCGGAUCCAGCCAUGCCGCGUGUGUGAAGAAUGCCCUCGGGGUGUAAAGCACUUUCAGUGAGGAAGAACGCCUGGUGGUUAAUACCCAUCAGGAAAGACAUCACUCACAGAAGAAGCACCGGCUAACUCCGUGCCAGCAGCCGCGGUAAUACGGAGGGUGCGAGCGUUAAUCGGAAUUACUGGGCGUAAAGCGCGCGUAGGUGGCUUGAUAAGCCGGUUGUGAAAGCCCCGGGCUCAACCUGGGAACGGCAUCCGGAACUGUCAAGCUAGAGUGCAGGAGAGGAAGGUAGAAUUCCCGGUGUAGCGGUGAAAUGCGUAGAGCUCGGGAGGAAUACCAGUGGCGAAGGCGGCCUUCUGGACUGACACUGACACUGAGGUGCGAAAGCGUGGGUAGCAAACAGGAUUAGAUACCCCUGUAGUC
rnacentral:rRNA from 1 species